UAUUUCUUUACAACUACUCAGGCUAGAGAUGUUUUGAUAUUGUGAAUAUUAAUUAAACUAAUUGUCAAGUUAGAAAAUAGAAUGCAUUCCAGCCUAGCUUCAUUUUUUCUAAGGGUCAAUUUCAAAAUGAAAUACGUUACGUACGUAAGCCAGCGGCCAGGAGGCAGUUCGCCUGUGACGUCAUCAACGGCCGGGGACUUGCCCGGCUUCAGUGUCUCUUGCUCAAUAUUUACCGUAAUUUGCAGUGUUUUCCAAGUAUUUCCAGCUGUUUCUAAACUCAGGCGUGUAGAUAGUAGUAGUAGAAAGAGGAAAAUAAGAGAAAUGGAGCAAGAGCAGCAAGAAAUAAAGAGAAAUGAAAGAGGAGAAGGAGGUCAAACACAUAAACGGUAAGAAGACAAUCUUUGGUUUAGUUUCCCUUGCUGCGCUGCCAUUCUCUGUAAUAUUUGGUGUGUUUUGGGUCCUUCAAGUGUGUUGUGGGAGUAUUUAGGAGAGCUGUGGGGUGUUUUGAGUGUCUUAGGUGUGUUUAGGAGAGUUUUGGGUUUAUAUUAGCUGUUAUCAGUGUGUUUUGGGUCAAUUUUUGGUGUUUAAAUGUGGUUUAGGUUGUUUUUAGGUGUACUUUACGUGUUUUGAGUGUUGUGGAGUGUUUUCAGUGUAUUGUGGGGUGUUUAGGUGUGUUUGGGGAUAUAUCGAGGUAUUGAGAGUGUGUCCUGAGUUUAUUUUGGAUGUUUUAGGUGUUUUAGGUGAGUCUGGGUGUGUGUGUGGGGUAUUCUGGGUGCGUUUGGGUGUGUUAAAGGCGUAUUCUGUGGUGAUGUGGGUGUUUUGGAUGUUUCAAGCGUGUUUUGGGUGUGUUUGGAUGUGUUUUGUGGGUAUUUUGGUGUGUUUUGGGUGUGCUUUGGAUGUUUUGAGUGUGUUUGGUUGAGUUUUCUGGAGAUUUUUGGGUGUUGUGAGUGUUUUGAGUGUGUUUUUGGAUGUUUUGAGUGUGUUUUGGAUGUGUUUGGGUGAGUUUUGCGCUCUCUAAUUCCUAGAGACUCAAAAAGUGCAGGACAUUUUUUUAAUGUUUUGAGUGUGUUUUGGAUGUGUUUGGGUGAGUUUUGCUCUCUCUCCUUCCUAGAGACUCAAAAAGUGCAGGACAUUUCAAGGUUUAUAAUGUGUUUUAUAAAAUAUAACUACUGAGACAGAGAGAGAGAGAGAGAGAGAGAGAGAGAGAGAGAGAGAGAGAGAGAGAGAGAGAGAGAGAGAGAGAGAGAGAGAGAGAGAGAGAGAGAGAGAGAGAGAGAGAGAGAGAGAGAGAGAGAGAGAGAGAGAACUAGCAUUAAUACACACAUACACACAAACAAAUGCACUCAAACAUUCAAAUUUCCCACACUUUUCCAACCCCAAGGAAGGAGAGAGCGCGACACAAGACGGAACAUCCUACAAAGCCUAACAUUUAUUCCAAUAUUACAGGAUGGAGAGCUUAGGAUACCACACGGAGGGGGUGAAGGAGCCUUGGGGAUGCCUGAAGGAGGGACAGUGAAGGAGGGAGGCCUGGAGGUGAACGGAAUGCAGAAAAUUCCUUCAAUACGGAACGCUUCUCUGGUCAGACCAUCCUUUACUUAAUAUAUGGACCCAGGCUUCGAGAUACGAGGAUGGAGAGCUUAGGAUACCACACGGGGGGGUGAAGGAGCCUUGGGGAUGCCUGAAGGAUAUAAAGUGAAGGAGGGAGGCCUGGAGAUGAACGAAAUGCAGAAAAUUUCUUCAAUACGGAAUGCUUCUCUGGUCAGACCAUCCUUCACUGAAUAUAAGAACAUAAGAAAUAAGGGAAGUUGCAAGAAGCGACCAGGCUUACACGUGGCAGUCCCUGUAUGAAACACACCUACCUAUUUCCAUCUUUUAUCCCCAUCCAUAAACUUGUCUAAUCUUCUCUUAAAGCUCUCUAGUCUCCUAGCACUAACUACAUGAUUACUGAGUCCGUUCCACUCAUCUACCACUCUAUUUGAGAAACAAUUUUUUCCUAUCUCCUUCCUAAACCUAAAUUUUUUAAGCUUGAACCCGUUAUUUCUUGUUCUACCCUGGUUGCUGAUCCUAAGACUUUUGCUUACAUCUCCAUUGUUAUAACCCUUAUACCACUUAAAGACU